rnacentral:sRNA from 1 species
CCGCGUGGGAUUGCGUAUCCCGUGCCUGC